rnacentral:rRNA from 1 species
UACGGAGGGUGCGAGCGUUGUCCGGAGUCACUGGGCGUAAAGGGCGCGUAGGCGGCCUGAUAAGUAGGGGGUGAAAUCCUGCGGCUUAACCGCAGGGCUGCCUUCUAAACUGUCAGGCUGGAGCACAGUAGAGGCAGGUGGAAUUCCCGGUGUAGCGGUGGAAUGCGUAGAGAUCGGGAAGAACAUCAGUGGCGAAGGCGGCCUGCUGGGCUGUUGCUGACGCUGAGGCACGAAGGCCAGGGGAGCAAACGGG